rnacentral:rRNA from 1 species
CCUACGGGUGGCUGCAGUGGGGAAUAUUGGACAAUGGGGGGAACACUGAUCCAGCCAUGCCGCGUGUGUGAAGAAGGCCCUCGGGUUGUAAAGCACUUUCAGUGAGGAAGAACGCCUGGUGGUUAAUACCCAUCAGGAAAGACAUCACUCACAGAAGAAGCACCGGCUAACUCCGUGCCAGCAGCCGCGGUAAUACGGAGGGUGCGAGCGUUAAUCGGAAUUACUGGGCGUAAAGCGCGCGUAGGUGGCUUGAUAAGCCGGUUGUGAAAGCCCCGGGCUCAACCUGGGAACGGCAUCCGGAACUGUCAAGCUAGAGUGCAGGAGAGGAAGGUAGAAUUCCCGGUGUAGCGGUGAAAUGCGUAGAGAUCGGGAGGAAUACCAGUGGCGAAGGCGGCCUUCUGGACUGACACUGACACUGAGGUGCGAAAGCGUGGGUAGCAAACAGGAUUAGAUACCCCUGUAGUC